rnacentral:rRNA from 1 species
UUAAAUUGAAGAGUUUGAUCAUGGCUCAGAUUGAACGCUGGCGGCAGGCCUAACACAUGCAAGUCGAACGGUAACAGGAAUCAGCUUGCUGAUUCGCUGACGAGUGGCGGACGGGUGAGUAAUGUCUGGGAAACUGCCUGAUGGAGGGGGAUAACUACUGGAAACGGUAGCUAAUACCGCAUAA